rnacentral:RNase_P_RNA from 1 species
CGAGUAAAUUGUACGGCUGCGGGAAUUAUAUUCACGAGGAAAGUCCGGGCUUCACGUAGCAGGGUGCCGCGCUAACGGCCGGUGAAGGUGACUUUAAGGAAAGUGCAACAGAAAAUUACCGCAACGCAAGUUGUAAGGAUGAAAAGGCGAGGUAAGAGCUCACCGUCUUUGCGGUAACGCAAGGAGCAGUGUAAACCCCACCUGAAGCAAGAUAGGAAUGCGUGCAUAAGAGGCUACGGCGUACGCAUUUGAUUUAUUCGCUUGAGCCUAUCGGUAACGGUAGGACUAGAUAGAUAGCCGUAUUAAAUGACAGAACUCGGCUUAUAGACCAUCUUGUAUU